rnacentral:rRNA from 1 species
UACGUAGGGUCCGAGCGUUGUCCGGAAUUAUUGGGCGUAAAGGGCUCGUAGGCGGUCCGUCACGUCGGGAGUGAAAACUCAGGGCUCAACCCUGAGCGUGCUUCCGAUGACGGGCGGACUAGAGGUAUGCAGGGGAGAACGGAAUUCCUGGUGUAGCGGUGGAAUGCGCAGAUAUCAGGAGGAACACCGGUGGCGAAGGCGGUUCUCUGGGCAUUACCUGACGUGAGGAGCGAAAGCGUGGGGAGCGAACAGGG